CGCGUCCUGGGCGGGGCGGGGCGGGGCUAGAGGGGCGAGCCCUCGGCAGGUGAGGAGAGAGAACUCGGAGGGUUCGUGGACUCGUGGACGUGGACACGGCGCGGGGGAAAUAGGCACCUCAGAAUGACAGCCCAGGGGCCUUCCUAUGGGAAGACCUGGAGUUUUGACCUAAGAUAUUAAAUCUGUUUUCUCAGUGUUUAUCUGGAAUCCUUUCCCUAGAAGGGGAAACGGGAGUGCGAUCUUGAUUCUGAAAUACUUGCGCUGGUGGGGUAGCUUCCUGCACAAAAAUGUGCACUGUAAUAGCUACCCAAUGCAUGGCGCGUUUUGUACGUGGUUAGAGGCGACACUGGCGUCACACUGUCAAAACUUUCUCUAAGGAUACCGGGCAGUCCACACUCCAGUGCAGCCCCUUACGUACUAGGGCGCUGCCGGAGCCCGGCGUGAACCAUGCCGAGAACAGGAAUCCUCCCGCACACGUGUUAGUACACCUGCCAACCAGUGUCAAAAGAUAUUUUAUUUUUAAUCCCCCUGCCUUUGCGGUAGGGACCAAAUUAAUGAAGAGACCACAAGAAAGGGAGAAGUGUUUCAUCUAGAUCAUGAGCAAUGGAACCCUAAUUAUAACAUGAUGACCUACAUCUGAGAAAUUUACAGUCUGCUUGAGAAAUGGAAAUGUCACAUCAGCAAUAGUUUAUUUUACAAGCGUAACUCCUGGGUUCAUAUCGAACUGCAAUUCCAGGCAAUUGCUUUGUGCAUCGAAAAAUUAAAAUUUAUUACAAAAUGAUACGUAGUUGCUGUAGAGAAAUCUGGAAAAAUGUAUAAAAGGAGAAAAUUAAAAUCAGUGAUCUCACCCUACAGCUGAACUAUUAAUAUUUUGGGACGUACACUUCUAGUCUUCUAACCCAGUCUAUUAAAAAUUCCCAUUAUUUUCCAAUAAAUAUCAUUAGUUUCUUUGAUUAGCAAGGUUGUGGUGAUUGUGUUUCCUUACAAUAUCAGUGUAUAUCUUAAGUUAUGCUUAUUGGAAAUCUGUAAUUCUUCUUUUUUUGAAUUUCCUAUUCAUAUCAUUUACCAUUUUCCUAAUGGGGGUAGUUUGUUACUAAUCUGGUAGAUCUUUUCUAUAUAUUACUACUUGCCCUUUUAUGGAUAGCUUUUGUAAAAAUUUUGUACAUAUUUGUAUUUUCCUCAAUUUAUUACUUGAGGAAUAAAAGUUAAAAAAACUUUAUGCCUGCAACUUAACUAUCUGAUUAGUUAAGCUGCAGUGAGCAGUGACCACUCUCAUUUACUCUUUAUACUCUCAUUUACAUAUAUGACUUGUCCUAGUUUUCCCUGUUCACACUUUUUUCUGUCCAAUCUCUAUUCCAGGUGAUAUUCAGAUUAUUUUGCUCUGAAGAAUUAUUCCUCCUUAAAUAAAAAUGUAUUUACCUCUGAAUUUUAAAAGUUACAAAUGUAGGGAAUUGUGGGAUCAGUUUUACAAAUUUUUUUGUUUUGAGACAGAGUUUCACUCUUGUCCCGCAGGCCAGAGUGCAAUGGCACGAUCUCGGCUCACUGCAACCUCUGCCUCCCGGGUUCAAGCGAUUCUCCUGCCUCAGCCUCCCGAGUAGCUGGGAUUACAGGCAUGUCCCACCACGCCUGGCUUUUGUAUUUUUAGUAGAGACGGGGUUUCUCCAUAUUGGUCAGGCUGGUCUCGAACUCCCGACCUCAGGUGAUCUGCCUGCCUCAGCCUCCCAAAGUGUUGGAAUUACAGGCGUGAGCCACCGCGCCCGGCCUGGAUUUUCACUUUUUAAUCAAUUACACUGUUUCAGCCAUAAACUUUUUUUUUUUCCAUUUUUUUU
rnacentral:lncRNA from 1 species